rnacentral:lncRNA from 1 species
GGAACGCGCAUGCUCGUCGUAUGGCGCCUGUUACGGUAAUGGUCUCCUUUUAUCAGUUGUUCUAGAUGAUGUCGUUUGAUUUUGGACCGAACAUCGUCGUGGCGUGGACCGGAUAUGGGCAGUGCAUGCCGUUCUUUUCUUCGUACGGAGAGUAGUGAGUGGUACCGCACUGUUGACAAGAACAUAGAGUAGAGCCAUCCAUUGCCCUUCAGCAAGCAGGAGAGGCAUAGUUUAUAAAUUUAUAAUAGGUAGUAUAUUGCUUUUCAUCAUGCUAAUUCCAUAUAGAGUAUGUCUCAUCUCCGUAUUGAGAAAUACUUCCUCCGUCUGAUUUUAUAAGUCCUGCUCGCAUUUUGAGUUAAACUGUCAAAGUUUGAAACUUGACUAACAAAAUAUAUUUUAUAUGUAACAAAAAUUAUAUUAUUGAAACUUUUACAAAUAUGCAUCUACUAAUAUAACUUUCAUGGCAUAUAACUUAUAUUCUGUUGAUUAAAUUGAAAAUUAAAAUUAGUACAAAUUAGGAAGUAACCAAUAAACCAGAACCGAUAUGCUAGUAUAGAUUAAAGUAAUUAUGUGUUUACUAUUUGCGUGUACUCUGCAAUAUUUGGUUAACUUUACAAGAUUUUGAUAUGAUAGUUUUCUGUAAAAACAAAAACAAAACUUGAUUUGGUGUUCAUAGAAUUUAGGGAAUUUCACAUAUGAGGUGUUUUCUCGAUUCCCAUAAAGACUUUCCCUAAAAUUUAUUUUUGGUGAUGGCACGGCUGGCGAGAGGAGGGGGCGGGUGGUCGACGGUGGCCAACGAUGGUGGUGUCAAAUGAAAUGAUUCCCGUAUAUAUUUGUGGACGUGUCCGAGCGUCCGAAUUCCCGCAAACCUAUGCCAAAUCCGAGGGAGGAUUGCACUCGUCCGGACUUGUGCACGUACUCGUCACCUCGCUUGGCCCCAUCCAAAGUCAUCGUCGUGGGUUUCGUACUAGAACGGUCUUCAUGCCGGCCUGACGCUCGAGAGCAAACGCAACUCGACGGCCUUGAUGCCAGUCAGAGCGAUGUGAGCAGGCUUCGAAUCCCUGCAUACUUGCGCUUUCCCGUGCCCUUGCCCCUGGCACUAGCACUAACACUCUCCUUGACAACUUUGCUGCUAGCUCUAGCGCUAGAAUUGCCGGUAGAUACAUUCACAUUAACAUUGGAGCUUCUUUGCACAUUAAUUGUAUUUCCAGAGAAGUUGUUGGACCUACUGCUACUUUUAGUUGGCGCCAUUCUCUUUUGGUUAGGUGCCGGCAUUUCCUCUGUGGCCUUCCUCUUGCUCUGCCUAGUGCUGCUCUGCCUUGAAGGCUAUAAGAAACAUGACAAAUGUUAGUUAUAUACAUGGUACUGUAAUCAGGUUUGUUCGUACAUAUUGAAUGGAUAGCUUAUCAUAUCUGGACCUUGACUAGCGCAUGGUGCUUGGCUGCUUGUUGUUGUUUGGCUUGCAGCAGCCUGUUUGGAAGCAGCUGAUGAUGCUUUGCUUCUAGCAGGACCUUGGCCUUGCACAGGAGGUUGCUGGGUUGGUGUAUUUGAACUCCCUGUGCCAUUUCUUGCUUUGCAUGAUGUCUCGUCGAGCAACACUGUAAUGCACUUUCAGAUUAACAAUGAUACUGUCUAAGGACAAAGUGCGCCCCUCGACAUGAGCAAUUUCCUCCCUGCCUCCAACAUAUUCCAAAAUUUGACCGUCACGCACAAAUGCACCAUUGAAAUGGAAUCUCACAACCAAGAAAUCCAGAGGAUCCAUUCAAUCUACAAGACAUGAAAAAACAAAAGAACAUAUCAAUUACUAGGGUUUCAGCAAUAGAAACACGCCGGCGGUGGCAGCAGCAACAUCUCGCUCUAGGUAGCAGCUCGCCAGCGGCUAGGGUUAGCAACAACAGCAACAACCUAAGGGGAACGGAGGAAGGAAGGGGGGAGGUAGGGAGAGAGGAAGGGAGGGGAGAGAGGGCGAACCUGCCGUGGUGUUGGGCCACGGCCGGUCUCCGGUCGCCGGCGGUGGAGGUGGUGGCCGCGGGCGGCGGCGCCCCUUGCGACCCAGGUGGCGGCAGGGUGGACAUGGGUGGGGCGAAGAGAGGAGGACCUGCCGGCGGUGUGGCGGCACCGCCAGUCUCCGGUCGCCGACAGUGGAGUUGGUGGCCGCGGGCGGCAGUGUUCCUCACGUCCCAGGCGGUGGGGGUGGCGAGGUGGGCUGGGUCGGGUGUGUGGUGUGGCGGUGAUCGAAAGAGAGGAAGGUGGGGAUAGGGUCCGAUUGGUGCGUGCGUGGCAUAGUGACUAGACUGCCCAGUCAGCUUUGACUGGGUCAAAACCGCUUGACCAGCUCCAAACUGAGUCAAGGGUAGUAAUCUGGACCCCGUGACAAGUUGAAGGUUAAAUAUGAUCUGUUUUAGAAAUCGGGAUUGAAAAUCAAAACACGUGGUUAGGUGAGGGUUGAAAUGUGGACUUUUCUCUAAAGCUGUAUGGUUACAUCCUGUCUUUGGUAGCUACACAGCCUGCAAGCCGUAGCUAGCUGUGAUGCUUUUUGGUCCGCCGAUGCAUGAGAGCAUCGCAUGCAUGAUCGGUGGAGAUACAAAUACUUAAUCAUAUCAGUGCCAUCGACACAAAUAGUAGGCAGAUUUUAUGAGAACGCUUUGUGUCAUAAAAUCGCUGGUAUGCUAUGCCUUAAUUCAACAUUAGGGGUGCAACCCGUGACAAGGCUUUGAUAUCCUAUGAGAGGCGCGACCCAUCACCGUUGAACAAUUUCAUCAAGAAACAACACAGGCGUCGAAGAUACGUUGGUCAGGUAUUAUUGAGAACGAAUUUGUUUCAGCAGUGUGUUCGACCGGUUAGAUUCAAUACAACUUUAUUUCAUGCGAGUUUCAUUCAGGUCGACAGUUACAGGAGAGCCAUCGGUGCACAUUUUUCAUGCUGAAAAGGUGAAAGCUGGUGCAUAUCGUCUGGGACACAACAAAAGAAGGUAAUGCGGUCGUGUAAGUCGCGAAAUACCCACAUGAAGAAACCGUUUUUCAUUUUCCUUUAUUCUGUUAGGUGUGUGAAAACUAUCUAUUUUGCUUUAUAGGAAUCUUAUUUUGGCUAUUCUAUGGUUGUGUCGCUUAAUGUCCCAGGUCCAUGUUUGUUUAUUUUUAGUGAAUGUACCAAGUGCAUGUAUUAUUGCGUCGGCAAAAUGUACUAGGUUCAAGUAUGGUUGUGUUGGCUGAAAGUAUCAGAUCUAAGUAUGAUUGUGUCCGUUGAUUGUAUCAGGUCCAAAUAUGGUUGUGUCUGUUGGAUUUACCAGGUCCAAGUAUGGUUUUAUCCUCUAAAUGUACCUGGUCCAAGUAUAGUUGUAAUGUAUCAAGUCCAAAUAUGACUGUGCUGGGUAAAUGUAUCAAGUCCAAGUAUGAUUGUGUCGGUUAAGUGUAUCAGGUACAAGUAUGGUUGUGCCGGUUAAACGUAGUAAGUUCAAGUAUGGUUGCGUCGGCUAAAUGUAUCCGGUCCAAGUAUGAUUGUGUCCGUUGAAUGUACCAGGUCCAAGUAU